rnacentral:rRNA from 1 species
CCUACGGGUGGCUGCAGUGGGGAAUAUUGCACAAUGGGCGCAAGCCUGAUGCAGCCAUGCCGCGUGUGUGAAGAAGGCCUUCGGGUUGUAAAGCACUUUCAGCGGGGAGGAAGGCGUUAAGGUUAAUAACCUUGGCGAUUGACGUUACCCGCAGAAGAAGCACCGGCUAACUCCGUGCCAGCAGCCGCGGUAAUACGGAGGUGGCAAGCGUUAAUCGGAAUUACUGGGCGUAAAGCGCACGCAGGCGGUCUGUCAAGUCGGAUGUGAAAUCCCCGGGCUCAACCUGGGAACUGCAUUCGAAACUGGCAGGCUAGAGUCUUGUAGAGGGGGGUAGAAUUCCAGGUGUAGCGGUGAAAUGCGUAGAGAUCUGGAGGAAUACCGGUGGCGAAGGCGGCCCCCUGGACAAAGACUGACGCUCAGGUGCGAAAGCGUGGGGAGCAAACAGGAUUAGAUACCCUAGUAGUC